rnacentral:rRNA from 1 species
AACGAACGCUGGCGGCAGGCCUAACACAUGCAAGUCGAGCGAGGACUUCGGUUCUAGCGGCGGACGGGUGAGUAACGCGUGGGAAUGUGCCCUUCUCUACGGAAUAGCCCUGGGAAACUGGGAGUAAUACCGUAUACGCCCUAUUGGGGAAAGAUUUAUCGGAGCAGGAUCAGCCCGCGUUGGAUUAGGUAGUUGGUGGGGUAAUGGCCUACCAAGCCGAGGAUCCAUAGCUGGUUUGAGAGGAUGAUCAGCCACACUGGGACUGAGACACGGCCCAGACUCCUACGGGAGGGAGCAGUGGGGAAUCUUAGACAAGGGGGGCAACCCUGAUAUAGCCAUGCCGCGUGAGUGAUGAAGGCCUUAGGGUUGUAAAGCUCUUUCAGCUGGGAAGAUAAUGACGGUACCAGCAGAAGAAGCCCCGGCUAACUCCGUG